rnacentral:rRNA from 1 species
UCCAGCUCCAAUAGCGUAUAUUAAAGUUGUUGCGGUAAAAAAGCUCGUAGUUGAAUUUCUGUUGAGAAGGAACGGUCCAUACCACGUAUGCGUAUCUGUUUUUCUUCUCGGCAUCUUCUCGGAAGUCGUUUCUGCGCUUAGUUGCGUGGGGCGAACCUCGGGACUUUUACUUUGAGGAAAUUAGAGUGUUCACGGCAGGCUAUCGCCAGAAUACAUUAGCAUGGAAUAAUACUAUAGGAUCUAGGUUCUAUUUUGUUGGUUUCUAGAAUUUAGAUAAUGAUUAAUAGGGACAAUUGGGGGCAUUAGUAUCAACACGUCAGAGGUGGAAUUCUUGGAUUGUGUUGCGACUAACUACUGCGAAAGCAUUUGCCAAGGAUGUUUUCAUUGAUCAAGAACGAAAGUAAGGGGAUCGAAGACGAUUAGAUACCGUCGUAGUCUUUACCAUAAACUAUGCCAGCUAGAAAUCAGAAAACGUUCAUUUACGACUUUUCUGGCGUCUUUCGAGAUAUCAAAGCUUUUGGGUUCCGGGGGGAGUAUGGUCGCAAGAUUGAAACUUAAAGGAAUUGACGGAAGGGCACCACCAGGAGUGGAGCCUGCGGCUUAAUUUGACUCAACACGGGGAAACUCACCAGGUCCAGACAUAAUAAGGAUUGACAGAUUGAUAGCUCUUUCUUGAUUUUAUGGGUGGUGGUGCAUGGCCGUUCUUAGUUCGUGGAGUGGUUUGUCUGCUUAAUUGCGUUAACGAACGAGACCUUAACCUGUUAAAUAGAAGCGCCUAUCUCCGGAUAAGCGGCAUUCUUCUUAGAGGGACUGUCUGCGUUUCAGCAGGCGGAAGUUUGAGGCUAAAAC